rnacentral:rRNA from 1 species
CUUCCAGACUCCUACGGGAGGCAGCAGUGGGGAAUAUUGCACAAUGGGGGAAACCCUGAUGCAGCGACGCCGCGUGAGUGAAGAAGUAUUUCGGUCUGUAAAGCUCUAUCAGCAGGGAAGAAAAAAGACGGUACCUGACUAAGAAGCCCCGGCUAACUACGUGCCAGCAGCCGCGGUAAUACGUAGGGGGCAAGCGUUAUCCGGAAUUACUGGGUGUAAAGGGUGCGUAGGUGGCAUGGUAAGUCAGAAGUGAAAGCCCGGGGCUUAACCCCGGGACUGCUUUUGAAACUGUCAUGCUGGAGUGCAGGAGAGGUAAGCGGAAUUCCUAGUGUAGCGGUGAAAUGCGUAGAUAUCAGGAGGAACACCAGUGGCGAAGGCGGCUUACCGGACUGUCACUGACACUGAUGCACGAAAGCGUGGGGAGCAAACAGGAUUAGAUACCCUUGUA